CCUCUCUUGGGACCUUCAUUCUGCACUGAUCAUCUGGCAUCCCUGUAAGUGCAGCUCUCACCCUUCAUCAAAAAAAGUUCCUUUUUGCAGCAGAUUGUUAGAGAAAUUCAAAACUGGUCAAAAUGCAGAGAAUAGUGGAUCAUGGGGUGUCCAACAUCAACUGAUACAUCUACAACACAACUCCUAAACCUAAGGCUCAGGCAACGUCCGUGAAGACAAGGCUGAAAGAUUUGAAGAGUCACAGGACCAGGAUAUCGUCUGUGAGAUACGAUCCUCUAGAAAUGACCAUAGGACCAGGAUAUCUGCUGUGAGAUAGGAUCCUCUAGAAACAACAGACAUGGAUUUAGUCAGUCUACUGGAGGUGAGAGAUUUGAGUCAGUCAUCAGCUGGAGGAACAAAGAGGCAGCAGUCAGAAGAAGCCCGGAAGGGACGGUAGUCUUCUCUCCAAGUCCCCUGAGGGUCCUCAUCAACACUGGAGAACUGUUUUGACAGAAUCACUGAAUUGAGUGCAAGAGUCAAAUUCCAGGGACAUCAAAAUGGGACAGACUUUCUGCUCACCCACAAACAACAGAGACCCUUCCGCUUUGAGGGACCAGGAAGAGCCCUUCUCAGGGGUCGAGUGGUUUCCAAGCUUGGCAGGAAUGGCUUGCUGUAGGCAAAAGGGCAAGGAACAUUGAGUAGCAGAAAUGGAAGCAAAUAAUUUAUUAUUUUUUUUUAAAUUGCAAACUCUGAUGUCUGGCCCCAGAUAUUGGAGCAUAUUCUCCAUUCUUCUAACAAAAGAAACACACAUGCUUAUUCCACCCUUUUCCGCCUCAUCUGGCAGCCGCUUUCUGGUCCAGCAGACACUAACAUCUAAUGAGUCAAACUUCUCAUUUUCAGACUAAUCAGUCGGCUGCACUAAUUGCAAAUGCAAAUAUGCAAAUUUAUAUUAAUUAAUUACUCUGCUAAUUAGUUCUGCGGUCUUUUUUGGGUAAUAAAUCAUUGUGCAGUGGAAGGGAAACAAGUCCUGUCCCAUUUCACUCCACAUAAAAAUUUAAUGUACUCAUGGAAGAAAAUAUCUAAAAAAAUAAACCGUGAGCCUAUCCUUUUACCUCCACUGAUGAUUCCCCUACAGUAAGGUGCCAUUGUGAGAGGGCUUUCACAUCUUCAGCAAAUGCCAUCACUAAGGUGCCUGUUAGCAGUUUAAUUAUCACAUUAUGAGCUUCAGAAAAAGCCAGUUUGCUGUGCUGCAGGCUGUGACAUGGAGCUUGGCAGUUCAGCCACUUCGAAGCAAAACACUUAUAAAUAAAAUGAGAAUGGAGAGAGGGAAUCACAUCUCUUCGCUGAAACACUAUGGCUUGGGAACACAUGCUUUUGAGGUUUUGCUAUCGUGUGUUAAGCUCAGGUUGUCUUCUUGCCUCUGUAUCCUUGAAUGAGAAGUUGUGCCAACAGGCUUGAGGAUGCACUGAAGGGCUGCUGGGGAGGGAGGGAUCAGAGAGGCUAGAGGUGAGGAAGAGCUGUGGAAGCAGGAGACAGCUCCCACUGUGGCUAGGAGUGGCACACACAUAGACUUAUUAAUUUCAGGCAUUUUUAUUGAAGAUUUAUUUGUGUUUCCAGCUCCUCUUGUGGGGCAUAGAAUGACAUAUAUGCAGCAUUCAAGAUAUAGUCUCUCCUAUUAUAUUGUGAAUCUUAAAACGCUUCCUGCUCCCUCUCCCAGGUGAAUCACCAGUAAGUGCUUGCUGAAUGAAUGGAUGGCAGCAACCAUCAUAGGCUAGUUACAGUGACAUUCACUGAUACUUGUGACAUACCUUCAUUAUGGGGUGGGUGCCAAGAUUAGGAGAGCAGAGAGAAUGGUGACUCAUACUUAAAUCUUCCUGUGUUUCUUGUCCCUUCUUUUCCUUCUCAAUAAGAAAUUCCAUUUCAA